rnacentral:rRNA from 1 species
UACGUAGGGUGCAAGCGUUGUCCGGAAUUAUUGGGCGUAAAGAGCUCGUAGGCGGUCCGUCACGUCGGGCGUGAAAACCCAGGGCUCAACCCUGGGCCUGCGUUCGAUACGGGCGGACUAGAGUUCGGUAGGGGAGGACUGGAAUUCCUGGUGUAGCGGUGAAAUGCGCAGAUAUCAGGAGGAACACCGGUGGCGAAGGCGGGUCUCUGGGCCGAUACUGACGCUGAGGAGCGAAAGCGUGGGGAGCGAACAGG